rnacentral:rRNA from 1 species
GACGAACGCUGGCGGCGUGCCUAAUACAUGCAAGUCGAACGCAGUGGGGACGGGUGAGUAACACGUGGGUAACCUCCCAUCAGAGGGGAUAACACUUGGAAACAGGUGCUAAACCGAUACUGAUGGAUGAACCCGCGGUGCAUUAGCUAGUUGGGGAGGUAACGUCUCACCAAGGCCACGAUGCAUAGCCAACCUGAGAGGGUGAUCGGCCACACGUGGACUUAGACACAGCCCAUACUCCUACGGUAGGCAGCAGUAGGGAAUCUUCGGCAAUGGACGAAAGUCUGACCGGGCAACGCCGCGUGAGUGACGAAGGUUUUCGGAUCGUAAAACUCUGUUGUUAGAGAAGCGGUAUCUAACCAGAAAGCCACGGCUAACUACGGGCCGGCGGGCGCGGUAAUUC